GAUGAACGCUGGCGGCGUGCCUAAUACAUGCAAGUCGAGCGAACAGACGAAGAGCUUGCUCCUCUGACGUUAGCGGCGGACGGGUGAGUAACACGUGGAUAACCUGCCUAUAAGACUGGGAUAACUUCGGGAAACCGGAGCUAAUACCGGAUAAUAUAUUGAACCGCAUGGUUCAAUAGUGAAAGACGGUUUUGCUGUCACUUAUAGAUGGAUCCGCGCCGCAUUAGCUAGUUGGUAAGGUAACGGCUUACCAAGGCAACGAUGCGUAGCCGACCUGAGAGGGUGAUCGGCCACACUGGAACUGAGACACGGUCCAGACUCCUACGGGAGGCAGCAGUAGGGAAUCUUCCGCAAUGGGCGAAAGCCUGACGGAGCAACGCCGCGUGAGUGAUGAAGGUCUUCGGAUCGUAAAACUCUGUUAUUAGGGAAGAACAAAUGUGUAAGUAACUAUGCACGUCUUGACGGUACCUAAUCAGAAAGCCACGGCUAACUACGUG
rnacentral:rRNA from 1 species